rnacentral:rRNA from 1 species
AGGCCUAACACAUGCAAGUCGAGCGGCAGCGGGUCCUUCGGGAUGCCGGCGAGCGGCGGACGGGUGAGGAACACGUGGGAAUCUACCUAUUGGUGGGGGAUAACUUGGGGAAACUCAAGGUAAUACCGCAUAAGCCCCAUGGGGGAAAGCAGGGGACCUUCGGGCCUUCGCCGAUAGAUGAGCCCGCGUCGGAUUAGCUAGUUGGUAGGGUAAAGGCCUACCAAGGCGACGAUCCGUAGCUGGUCUGAGAGGAUGAUCAGCCACACUGGGACUGAGACACGGCCCAGACUCCUACGGGAGGCAGCAGUGGGGAAUAUUGGACAAUGGGGGAAACCCUGAUCCAGCCAUGCCGCGUGUGUGAAGAAGGCCUUAGGGUUGUAAAGUACUUUCAGUGGGGAGGAAGGCUUCAGAUUAAUACUCUGGAGUACUUGACGUUACCCACAGAAGAAGCACCGGCUAAUUUCGUGCCAGCAGCCGCGGUAAUACGAAAGGUGCGAGCGUUAAUCGGAAUUACUGGGCGUAAAGCGCGCGUAGGCGGUUUGUUAAGUCUGAUGUGAAAUCCCUGGGCUCAACCUGGGAAUUGCAUCGGAUACUGGCAAGCUAGAAUGCGGUAGAGGGGGGUGGAAUUCCAGGUGUAGCGGUGAAAUGCGUAGAGAUCUGGAGGAACACCAGUGGCGAAGGCGGCCCCUGGACUGACAUUGACGCUGAGGUGCGAAAGCGUGGGGAUCAAACAGGAUUAAAUACCCUGGUUAGUCACGCCGUAACGAUGUCUACUACCGUCGAAACCUUUGUGUUUUGGUGCCCA